GGAAGGGAGGGAGCUGAGGGGAGGGAGAAUAUAUAAAUGUGUUUGUAGUACUGAGCUGUUGUCAGGUUGGUAGGAAAUUAAACAAUAGAAGUAGCAGUCAGCAUUUAUAUAGAACUUUAAAUGCUGUGAUAGAAGCGUAGAUCAAAGUCAGCCUUCUCUGUGGUGAGACUUUGCUACUGCUGGAACAGUACUGAAACCAUAGAAAACAAUUAAGGGGUUCAGAUCCAAAGCAAAAAGAUGGGGUACAGCACGGGGCUGGUAGGUGUUGCUAGCACUCGCAAUCGUUCAUUCCUACGAAUUUUCCUCAGAUGUCACUAUGUGUUUUGGCCCAAAUUUUUUUUAAUAACAAUUUUUCUGUGUUUGUAAAUUCGAGCCCAAACAUCCUAUACCUUUCAGUAAUUUUCAUUGCUCUUUUGUUUUUAAUGUGUACAAAAUUUCGGAAGCAGUUUCAAAAAUCUUCUAUCCUUGGCUACCAUGCUUCUGAUAUGAGUCCUCCCUACAGCCUGGUUUCCUCAAAAGUAGUGAGGGGAUUGGACCACAGCGUGAUCUAAAGGCUUCUACAAAGAUGAAAUUCCAGGUGACGAAUAACCAUGGCCACCCAUUGUUUAUUUUGUGAAUUUGCAGAAGUUCAAAGGAACACUCAGAGAGAUUUCCUCGUCCCUCUACAUAAAAGGGGCCUUUUGUUCUGUUUAUUUAUAGUUUUGUAGUGUGUGUGUGUGUGUGUGUGUGUGUGUGUGUGUGUGUGUCUGUGACUGUGUGUGCAAAUCUCUGUAUCUGUGUGUGUGUCUGUGUGUAUGUCUAUGUGUGUGUCUGUGUUUGUAAAUCUCUGUAUCUGUGUGUGUGUCUGUGUGUGUCUAUGUGUGUGUGUCUGUGUGUGUCUGUGUGUUUGUGUAAGUCAAGGCUAAAUGUAUGGGAUUCCCCCAGAACUAGAGUUUUCAGACUUUGUAAGCCAUCUAACAUGGUGCUGGGAAUUGAACUUGGGUCCUCUGCAUGAAUAACUCUUAGCUAUUGAGCCAUUUCUUUGGCUCCACUGGUGUGAGCUUUUAAUAAUAGGGGAUGUGAUCACUUGAAGAACAUACUUCUGUGAGACAAGACAACAGUGGAGUACCUCUUCUGUGAGCCCAGUCCUGAGCCAGAAACUGGUUUUCCUUCUGUUAAACUGAAAACAGGACACCAAAAUCCAUUCACACACACACACACACACACACACACACACACACACACACACCCCGUUUGGGAGAAAUCAGGUGUUCUAUCUAGCAUUUUAAGAUGCAGUAGUCUUCCUCCUGACAUGCAGAUGUGGGAUUUGAACAUGGGGAAACCCAGCGUGAGUUCACUGAUUAUUUACAUUAUUAGAUGAGCAUAUUUAAGGCAUUUACUUACUGUCAGAGGGAAGAUCAGUGAGUGCGGAGGUCACAGCCUCCAGGGCCUGAUGGAGGCAGCUCAGCUCUUAGUGAACAUCACUCUGGGGAUCUGCUAGGGAAGGAAACAUGAUCCUUACAGCCCCUCAUCUUGGCCCUUCUCCCUGCACUUUUUGCAAGUGUGGUUUUAGCGACAAGUUGCCUCUCUGAUUCCUUGCUCAAAGGGACAUAACAUAUUUAUAUUUAUAUUAUGGAUUGGUACUCACUAAAACAAUUUGAAAACAAUGGAUGUUUACAUGUAACAGCUGAUGGGGAAUGCAAGGACCAGAUAAAUAGAAAGACUAGAGAAGUACCUGCAAUUGCAAGACUGAAAUUACUCAAUAUUGCAGUGUGUGUGUGUGUGUGUGUGUGUGUGUGUGUGUACUCACAUGCAUGUGUACAUAUAUGAGAGCUUUACUCACUAACAGAAGAAAAAAUUGGUGGAAAUCAACUUACUUAACGAAACAGAGUGCAUGUCUAUUCUAUAUUUUAAACUUUUACCUGACAAAAAUUCAGAUUUUGGUUACGACUGCUUCUUGUUUUGUUUUGCUUUGUUUUGUUCUGUUUAAAAACAGAUUUUCUAAUUUAAAUAUUAAGUUCCUAUAAACUGUAACCCUAUAGCUUAUUUGUACACUUUAGUUGGGACCAUAGCUCGCUGGCCUGAAGUCUGGGAAGCUGGUCCACACCCUUCACCUCUUUGGUGCCACAGCUCUGAGCCCUGGGCAGGGCUCCUUAACGGAAGCACUGAACAGGGGGUGCUGGUUUCUUGUUCCAACAUGGUUUCCACAGACAUAACAGUUGUGUCACAGGGAUCACAGGAAACAAAGCAAGGCCUAAGCUGACACACAUUAUCCUGCCUCCUCCCAGUCAGGCACCAAGACUCUCUCAGCAGCCCACAUGAGCAGCUCUGCCCCUGCGUGUGCACACCUGCUAAAAAGGCUCUACAGUACUUGCAAAGUGUUUGCAAAUUAAAAUGUAUUUACUCCUAAUCAUAAGAGUCUUACAUGGCUUUUGAUGGACUUAUGGACCAAUAAGGUCAGAAGAAAUUUUGGAAUUAAGCACAGUAUGGUUGUUGAUUGUGUCUUCCAGUCGUUUUGUCCCUGACAACUCUUUCUGUAGGGAGGUGAACACCAUCAGGGAACCAUGAAAUGCAAAUAGUGCUUUAUUUCUUCUUACAAAUAAUAGCUACAAUUCUAUUGGCUGCUUGCUCUUACUCAGCCAAUCACACACUCUCCUGACCACAGGUUCUCUCUGCAGAUGGCAUUCACUCCAGAGGUUGUUUACUGCCUAAAGCAAUCUCUGCUUGAAGACACUACAUUGAGUCAAGAUUAAUGGACCCUUUAGUCCAAGUGUUCCAAAUGUUAUGGAAAAGAAAUAGUCUAAUGAAAAACUAAAUGUUGAGGCAUUGACUUAAGGAAUUUUAUCUUUAGGAAUGUUUAUGCAUGCUAGGUAUGGUUUAUUUAUGUGUUGUUGCAUGUAUGUGAGCCUAUGAAGAAUUUAAACACACACUCAAGGACAUAGUGUGACAUUUAAUAUCCCCCAUACACACAGGAUGAAGGUGUGUCACGUAAAAACUUAGCAUCACUAAAUGUAUCAUGGGAAAGUAUCAAGGCAUAUUCUUUAUUUAAAACAAAUCUCUCCUUGUUUUAUACAUAACGUAAUUUGUACAUAUUUGAUUUAUAAAAACAAACAGCAAUUUGCUUAAGAGAACAAAGCUCUUAAUUUUUCCUACAGUGAAAACAAUCGACAUGAAAGUCUGCUAGGAAAACUUCAGAAACCAGAUUGACAACUGUUAGCAGUUUGUUUGGUUUGGUUUGGUUUUUGUUUCUACUGGAGAUUGCCGAAUACUUAAACAAUAACAUGCCUUUGUAACAUAACUGUGCACAGCACUCUCUUAACUCUAUGGGGAAGAUGCUUGGGUGUUCUUAGAUAGAAGCUCCCCUGUGUUGCAACAGGUGAUUGAAUUUAGAACUCUCAUGUAUAUUAUACGCUUCAUAUAUUAAGAUUAAUCCUGCUUUUGAGUGAUAUGUGUUCUAGGAAGUAAGAAGUGUGAAUGUUUUUAUUUCCUCUUUGUUCCAUUCAUUUCCCAAGUGUCUUAUCUUGUUGCACUAUUAAAUGAAGUAUGUUUGGAUAUAAAAUGAACAGUUGGCCAUGUUUGCAGUGCAUAACACUGGAGUCAGCGUGUCCCACCUCGUUGCUCCUUGUCGAGAGAGCUUCAGCCGCCUAAGUCUAAAGACGGAAUCAACAUUGAAAUUGCACUGACUCUGAGACAAAGCUUGACAGCGUGCAGUUCAUUCUUCUUUGUAUUUCUACCAAAAGUCUUCAGUAUCAGGUUAUUGUGAUAAGAAAGUAAGGAAAUAAUACAACCAUACUCUAUGUAAUUGAAUUUUGUUUUAUGCUAGUGUCCUGUAACUUUAAGUGGAUCAUUAACACAUAGAUAAGGCAAAAUUCUCCAAUCGAAGGAUUUACAGAUGGACUAAAUGGACUUUUCUUUCUUGCUUAUCUCAGAGUAGUUUUUAAAGUCUAAUUAGAGAUUGUAUCACUCCUCUAUGAGGGCUCCUCACCAAUACUGGGUCAGAUGGGAUUAUAAUGAUAAAGCCUUUUAAGGAUUAAGUUCUGGCUCCAUGAUUCCCUGUGCCCAGACAAAUUGCCAGGAGAUGAUAAGAGGAGGAAAUAAAAUUAAGGGCAGGAUUGUUUUCUUUCUGGAAGGAUAUAGCUGCCAAGCUAGAAAUUGAAUUUUAUGGGUUCUUCUGAGACUGAUGAGGCCGACUCCUCGCCAUUCUUGCCAUCGUAACUGCAGUCCAGUUGUUUUCCACAUCAGAAAAAUCUCUCUCCUUUCCAGUCUUCUAGAACUAGUCCUUUAAAUGUUAUCGUAUCUUUUAAAAGGAGAACAAGAAAGGGGAAGGAAAAAGGAAGAGAUAGCGUGUGAAGUGGGUAAAUCUUAGUCACAGGGCAGAAGACUCCAUUAGUCAGCGGCAUCUUGCUUGUUACCAAGAUCAAAUACUCUGUUUCCCUUGAAUGAAGUAAAGCAAACCAUCACGAUGACCUACUCAGCAACAAUCUUCAUCAUUUUCUAUGGAGAAAAAUGACAGAGAAGGGAAGGGUCACAUGAUCAAAAUGCCUAGCAACUUCUGCAUGAUGGAGUCUCUUGGCAACCAGAAGGAAAUCUUUUCAGGAGAAAGGUAUCUCACUCUUGUGCAAUGUAGCUUACACUGCCCUUUCUGGUAAUUAGUGUAAUUUGACACAUUUUAAGAUAAUGAUACCACCUGCUCUGAAUAGCUAAAUCAUCAUUAAUUCUUAGAAGCUUUUCUCCCCCAGCAACAAAACCGUGCUAACUCCUAGUCCAAUUUCAUUCUACAAGUUGCAUUUCCCACAUAAAUUUUAGAAUCAUCAUAAUCUUGAUUUCAAGAAUGCACUGCAAUUGGCAGCUAGCCUUGCCAAGGCUUGCAUUAGGAAAGAUUGUGGAGGAAAUGUCCCAAGAUAUAAUAGCUCUGUAAGUCCACUGGGCAGUGAUAGAAGGGGGUAGGGUCGAUGCUGCAGGUUAGUCAGUGCCUUGCCAAGCUUGCUGUGAGAUGCUGCUAUACUUAUAUUGCUUUUAAAUGCCUUUCUUGCCUUACAACUUGUCAGAGGUGGUUCCUGUGUUUGACCAUGGCUCUUCUAUCGGCCAGCACCUUUCCUGUGAAUGAGAUUAGGGAGAAAUGCCAAAGGAUAAGGACUUUAAAUACUUCAGCGAAUCGCAGGAAGUUUAUAGCAGUGCUGUGAAACGAAUAGGGGAAAAGUCAAUUGGAACCGAGGAUACAGCAGUAACACAGGGUUGCAGUUAACAUGAUCUAGAAGAGGCACGAGAGGCAGCCUGAGGGGAGACAGACAUGCAGCUUACCAGGCUGUUAGUGUGCCCUGUGCCCUGUGCUGGGCAGAGUGGCAGGUGUGAAAGUGAAAAGCAAGCACCAAGCACCAGCUGAGAGAACUAGGUGAGGAGGGACAAGGGUGAGGCCUGAGAACAGGGUCUUGCAGCAGCUCUUGGGUCAGCACUCUCUCAUGCUUCCUGCCGCUGUGAAAAUGCCCCAUCUUCUGUACUUCGCUGUCCUGACUGAGUGAGGCACCGAGCACCUGAAAGACAGCUAAAAUGAUGGAGGAAUAAAAGUCCUACAAAUAUGUCCCAUUUAAACUAUUGCAGGCUAAUUGUGUAUAUCUGUGGGGUGCACAUGUGUACAGUCUGUAGCCAUUACGUCAGGGUGACUGGAGCAUCAUUUACCAUUUCAUGUCAAGUAAGAAACAUGAAGUUUUAGCACUAUAUGAGUUGGCUGGAAUGUGGAUAGGUAUAUGGUAGCUACAAUGUUGAACACUGCAUUGAUUGGAAGGCUUAGUCAUAAGAACUUGGUCAUAUCAAAAUAUGAUAGCAAACCACCAGAAAGUUCUAACCAGGGAAAGACAUAACUUUCUAGGUUCGCAAAUGAUAAAACCUAGUAUGUUUCUGUUUAUCUUAGAAGAUAUGAUCUAAACCCAGCAUGAAAACCUAGCAUGAAAACCCAGCAAAGUACCCUCUGUUGAGUUCCUCCAGUCAGUCCUUGUCCCUUAUAAUGAAAAGGUCAGCUCAGGAACUUUGGGAAGAUUAGGAAACACUCUCCCUGCUCCCUGGAAGGGAGAGGCUAAUUAGCAUUUCUCAGACCACAGGGAGGGAACCAACCUGCUGGUGGGGACACAUUCUGCAGGACUGGCUGUUGCUCACCUUCAGACAAGAGAAGUCCUUGUCACUUCAUUCCCUAAAGACCAAUCAGUUUAAACGGUUCACAGUUCCGCCAAUCAUAUUGUGCCUAGUUGCUGGUGCUCUGUUCUGCCCCUAGAAACAAUAUAAAAACUUGCCAAAGGGGUGCUGGGGGUGGCCGCCUCUCCUUCGGGUCUGAGACGACCCCAAUGCACUGGAACAAUAAAUUCCUCUUGCUAUUUGCAUCAAUCCUGGCUCCACGUGGUUCACUCAGGGGUUCCCUGGUACACAAAGGCUCCUCAGAGUCUUACACUAACUGACUUCCUGUUUUUAUGUUAAUUUUGAUUCUGGUUUGUAAGCUUGUAUCACAUUCUUUCUGAAAGAAUGCUGAAUAUAAUCUUAUAAAUGAGAAGAGAGGGCAUAGAUACAGUCUCCAUUAGUUAAUGAGUUGGAGAAAAUAAGGAAGCCGUGUGUCUCAUGUGGACAGGUAAUAAGACAAAACCAAACACAGAAAUUCAUAAAUGUGGCCAGAGAACCUAUUCUGCCUAACAGUCUAGUAAGCUAAUCUGUAAAGAAAUGUAUACCAACCCCGUUCCUAUUGUCAACAAUAAACUUAGAAAGCAGUUCUAAUAUAAAAAGGUCAAACAGCAAUGACCAGGAAUAAUUACUUUAAAACUUUCCCUUGACUAACUGGAGAUAAUAAUGAUUAAGGAAAUCAUUUGCCUAUUAGUGAUGUGUUCGCACAGGAUACAAGAAGAUUAAACUGUGGCCACUGUCUGAUGAGUCUGAGGCAAGCAGACAAGUCAACCAAAACAUCCCACUGUGAGAAUUAACUGUUUCCGUCCCUUGAAGAACAAGAGAAUGGCAAAAAAAGAGAUGAGUCAAUUCUACGUGUGAUGUGAGCCUUGUUCCCUCCUUUUAGUAAAGGCUACCCUUCCACAUGCAGUCUACACAGUGCUGAGUUUCCAGCCAACAAUCCAACCCAGCAAGUACCCAACCCAGCACUCAUUCACAGCCCAGCACUUAUCCAAUCUAGCACUCCUCCAACCUAGUGCUCCUCCAACCCAGCACCCAUCAAACCUAGAACUCACCUAACCCAGCACCCAUCCAACCUAGAACUCACCUAACCCAGCACCCAUCCAACCUAGAACUCACCCAACCUAGCACUCAUGCAACAACUGAGCUACAUCACCAGCACCUAUUUCCACUUUCUCAAUUUUUAAAAAAUUUUCCUUCAAGGUGGAGGCCCACAGAAGCCAAAAGUGGGAAUCAGGUCCACUGAAAAUGUCAGUCACCUGACAGGUUUACCUAGAACUGAACUCUGGACUUCUGCCAGGGCCACAGAUGUUCUUAACCACUGAGCUAUCUCACAACUCUAUCUUUUCUUUUCUUUUUUUGGUUUUUCAAGACAGGGUUUCUCUGUAUAGCCCUGGUUGUCCUGGAACUCACUCUGUAGACCAGGCUGGCCUCAAACUCAGAAAUCCACCUGCCUCUGCCUCCCAUGUGCUGGGAUUAAAGGUGUGUGCCACCACGCCCGGCUAUCUUUUCUUUUUAUAUUCUCCUUCCUGUCAGCCAAUGCACACUGACACUUUUUAAAGAAAGAGAUUAUUUACUUUGUGCAGAUUUAAGGCAUGCCUUUGAAUUCAUUCAGUAUUUCUUCACUACUCAAAGUGAUUAGGUCUAUGUACAAUUGUAACAGAAUAGUUAAUAAGUCAAAAAGGAAAUACUGAAAGAAAUGUAAGACCUCUGUGUGGAUGGAAAUGAGGCUACUGAAGCAAUUAAUUAAAAAUGUCAUAGACUGCCAUCAAGGGAAGGAUCAGCAAUUAAAGCACAGAAGUUUUGUUAAUUACUCAAGGUUGGAGCGCAGAACAACCUGAGAGUAAUGAAUUCAUCUAGAAGUGUUACUUCAGUAGACAAUGGGUGACUUUUGUCAUAUGAUUGAAGCUGCAUUGAGAAGAUUUGAAGCAGUAACAAUGGCAGGAGCUUCUAAAAUAUCGUGAGGCAUCUGUGUAUAGAAAUGCUUCACAUAUAAUGAUAUACCAAGUUUAUAAAGUCUUGAAGUAAAUAAGAACAGAUAAGAAAUGAACUCACAGCAAUUUUCAAAGUAAAUUAAGACUCAUGGGAUCAGCAAGAUGGCCCAGUGAUGUGUGACACUAUUCUUGUGAAGACUUGAACAAAUAACUACUCACCCCAUAGUGGGAACUGACAACAGAGUAAGGAGAGUCCAACUUGAUGAAGUAAUGAGUUUUAUUGCAGUUACUUAUAAGAAUAUGGGGUUACUUACAGAAGCAGAAAUGACUGAAAGACAAUUGCAUUGCCAAAAUCCAUCCCAGCAUGGAUGACAGCUCAUGAAAGCUGGAAACCUAGAGCUCACUACAGGCAGCUCACCAGAUUAUAAAAUGUCUCUCCCAAGUAGUUUUGCAGGUCUCUCAGGUAGUUCAGUCUGUCUAAGAGUAUCCCUUGACUCUCCCUGUUUAUAUAUGCUUGAAGAGGAGGAGCCUAGUAAAUCUGAUAAGUUUCAGGAACAUCCUGAAACUGCAGAGUUGUUUACUUUUCGAGAUUAAGGAGCUUCACCACUGGGUAGAAUGUUUUUUAUCCCAGUUUAGGAUAUUUAGUCUCUUCAUGGGCUUCCUAGUAGGAUAAAUCGUUUUACCUUCCCUUAGCAGUUCUCAACCUAUGUGUCUUUGAAUGACCCUUUCACAUGGGUUGCCUAAGAUGAUCAGAAAGCACAGAUAUUUGCAUGAUGAUUCAUAACAGUAGCAAAUUACAGUUAUGAAAUAGCAAUGAAAAUAAUUUUAUGAUUGUGUGUCACCACAACAUGAGAAACUGUAUUAAAGGGUCAUAGCAUUAGGAAAGUUGAGAACUACUGCUUUAGAACAUCCUGUGCUUAAAGAACGUCUAUCCAAAUGGAAUGUUUUAUGUUCAAGGAAGUUGUUACACAACCCUCAGUGAGUAGAAGCACUUGGUACCAAGCCUGACCACAUGAGCGCUAUCUCCAAAGUCUCAGGAUGGAAGGAGAAAGCUAACUCCUACAAGUUGACUGCUGACCUCCACAUAAAUGUGUUGUGGCACAUUUAAACUCUCUCAUACAAAAUAAGUAAAUGAAAAAAAUUCAAAGACUUGUCAGUUCAUUUAUGCGUUUAAUUUUAGGUUUCUGUUCUAAGAAGUUGUGAUUUAAGUCAUUCAUUAUAUAAAAUAUUAUUAUUUUAUACUACUUAACACGGAAUUUCUUUUCUAAUUAGAAACAUUACAUACUCCUAUGUAUUAUGAUAAAAAUGUUGCCUUGUGUUUGAGCAUUAAUAAAAUAAUGUAAAAGGUGUCCACUGAAUGUAUAUUUUCAAGCAUUCUCAAAGUAUGAUGUGACUGUUUUAAAGUAAUGUAAUCCAGCUGCUGUACUUAAAAAACUGUAAGCUAAAUCCAAAUCAGGUUCAUACGCAAUGCCUAGUACUGUACUAAUAGCAGUCAGUAUUUCACAUUUCUUUUAUUCAAAUUCUUAUUUCAUGAUUCAAGUCCAACAGUGACUGGAUGAACUUAGUCUCUCUGAGGGUGAGGUCUGACCAUGUACAAAGCCCACACUUAGUGCUUCUGAAAAUGCAGCCUCAUUUUAGACCUCUGACCUCAUUUCUAGAAUCUAACCCAGGGAGUGUCCUUUUGUGACCAAAGCUCAGACAGUUCUACAGGUAAGACCUUGAACCUUCCAGAAAAACUACAGGUUACAGAACUCAGUUUCUAUCCAUUUUAUGUGCCAGGUAUUUGGAUGCCGUUGUGGAUCAUACACGAUUUCACUCAGGUUAAGAUUCCCAUUCGUCUGACAUUAUUUCAACAUUUUGUGAAACAGAGACAGUUCCCCUGGCUUGACUGGAAAGCUUUAUCUGAAGCCUAAGACUGCAGUCUGUCUGAGGACUGCAAUCCUCAGUUUACCAAAUGAUGAACAUAACAGUCAAGAUUCUCCACCAGUAACGGUGUUUGGCUCACCCAUCACAAAAGGCAACCCAUGAAAACAUCUUCUAUCUGGCCAUCACUGAGUCAGCAGUAGGGUUCCCUCAACCCCCAUUCAGUAUGGGGGAUAUAGAACCUGCUGGCAGGUAGGAUCCAAUGGAACUCAACUGUCCAGUCUUGUUUGGUUCUCUCCUAGGUCUUCAGGCUAUCUAGCCUCUGGUCCCUGGUCCUCCAGGUCAUAUCAGGAGUGACAUUCCACUUGUGACAUGUGUAUCAAGUUGGAUCAGUUAUUGGUUGGCCACUGAGGACUCAGAAGCUUUUACAAGCAUGAAUAAAAUCCAUUUUUUUUUUUAGCCAUUGUAAAAGCAACCAAUAUGUAUGGAUUUCAAGUUACACGGUUUUCUUGAACUUUUUAUAAAAAUUAUAAUAUCAAUAAUAAAAAUUUGGUGGGAUAAUUGUAUUUUGUCCUUCUGAAGUUUGGUACUAAAACUAUGUAGAUAUUUUUACCUUUUUUAUUUUCCUGUUGUGCUUUAGUCCUUAGCCUGGGGGCACAUAAAGUUUUUAAAGCCCUAAUAUAUUCCCAUUCAAAUGUGUAUACAAGCAGCAAGGGACACAACACAGAUUGUUCUAAUAAUGGAUUAAACCCCAGAUGUUUUCUGUGUUUGGGAUUAUAGAACUGAGUAAGCUAAGCUCUCUUGUUAGUUCUGUGAACUAUCUUGUUUGCAGAAUUGCUAUCACUCUGCUGCUGUUUAGAGAGAGUCCCAGAACAGGACUGGGAGCCAGCCCAGAACCCUCUCCUGAAAUGGACCAAUUUACAUCUCCAUUCAACCCAAAAUGAAUUUGAGUUGUAUCAUUCUUUUCUACUUGAAAUGAGGGAUUCCUUGAUCAGGUCUGAGUCCCCUGGAGAAAUAAGGAUUGAUGAGAUUUAAGAUUUCCUCCACACUUAGCAUGCUAGGAAAACAUAGCAUUAUUCAGAUGGGACACUUUGCAUGGCUGUCAAAAGUAAUUUUUGAUUUAGCAACUACAGUGUUCACCUUUUCUAAACAGACAAGGUUUGUUGCCAUUUCUCAGUUUGAUUAUACAAAAUACAGUUUGUUAUAUUGUCUUUCCAUACUUCUCAGGCUUCUUGCUUUCUUGCACCAUUUGAAUCUGAGGAAAAUACAUUCCUCUGUGUGUGCAUGCAUGCAUUCCUGUGGAAGUGUAUGUAGGCCAGAGGACAACCUCGGGUGUCAUUCCUCAGGCACUACCAACCUUCUUCUUUGUCAGAGUCUCUCACUGGCUGUAAACUCACCAAGCAGGUUAGGCUGACUGGCCUGAGAGUUCUAAAGGUCCCCUUAUCUCAGCCUGGACACCCCUGAGCAAGUGUGCAUCACUGUAUCCAGUUUUUAAGUGUAGACUGGGGGAUAGAGUCAGCUCUUCAUGCCAGAGAUCAAGAACCUUCUCUCUGAGCAAGACUCACAGUAACCCACAGCCAUUUCCCUAGCCUAGGAAAUGGAUUUCUGAUGGAAAAUUUAAGGAUAUUUGUACAAAGGACUAUGUUAAUAGACAAACAAUAGGUUUGCAAUAUUGCAGAGAGAGGGACAGUAGGCUCACUAUACAGAGAGUUCUCGUGAAUUACUAAGGAACAGACUAACAACUUAAAACUGGGAAGAGGAUGCAAAGAGAUUCUGGGAAAAGUGGAAUUUCUGAGAGAAGUUGAUUACCCAGAAGAGAAAAGUUCUAGCCAGGCAGUGGUGGCGCACACCUUUAAUCCCAGCACUUGGGAGGCAGAGGCAGGUGAUCUCUGAGUUUGAGGUCAGACUCAUCUACAGAGUGAGUUCCAGGACAGCCAGUGCUAUAUAGAGAAACCCUGUCUCAGGGAAAAAACAAAAAACAAAGAGAGGGGGAGAGAGGGAGGAAGGGAGGGAGAGAGAGAGGGGAGAGAGAGAGAGAGAGAGAGAGAGAGAGAGAGAGAGAGAGAGAGAGAGAGAGAUCCAAAUAACAUGCAAGCAUAUAAAAAGAUGUUCAAGUUAACUGACAUUGGGAGAAUGCUGUGAACUCCACCACUUCACGCCCAUCAGACCCUAGCUGGUUUUAAAGGUGGCAGCAAUGCUGUUGAAGUCAUAGGAAGCAUGCGUCUAGACAGUGCAGAGGGACCUGGGGACAUGUGGGAAAUAAUUCUAUGGUGGCAUGAAAGAGAAUGGCUCCCAUGGGCUCCCAUGUUUGAACACUCAGCCAGCAGCCUGUGGAACUGGAAAGGAUCAGGUAUGGCCUUGUUAGAGCAGUUGUGUCACUGGGGUGGGCUUUGCUGUUUUAAAAAACCCACAUCAUUCCCAGCUACCAUUCACUACCUUGGGUUUGUAGAUCAGACAUUACCUCUCAGCUACUGCUUAUGUUCCAUGCCUGCCUGCCUGCCUGCCUGCCUGCUGUCAUGCUUCCCACCAUGAUGGUCAUGGAUUCUACCCCUCUGGAACCAUGUGCCCCCAAUUAAAUGCUUGCUUUAUAAGUUGCCUGGGUCAUGGUGUUUUGUCACAGCAAAAGAGCAGUGACUGAGACAUUCUGUAAAAUAGAAAUAUGCAAAUAUCCACACUUCUCUACUUGCCAGUCUUGUGUGGGUUUCCCAAGCCUGAAGACACCCUGUGGUAGAGGCAAUCAGAACUGACUUGAGGACCAGGAUCCACAUUAAUGAACUUUAUUUAGUGGCAUAAUAACUGAUCCUCAAAUGUGAUGACUUAAAAUUUCCAAUAUCUCUUAUUUCCCAAGUGUCUUUGCUUUGGUUUGCUUCUAGUAUGAAUUGGCUGAACUUGAAGCAAGAUGGCCACUGAUGGUCUUACUUGUGAAACAGCUAAAUGAGCAGCAUAAGUCUCUAAUUACCAGGGGGAAUAUAUACUGCUACAUAGAUAGUGAAAAUGAUGCCGUGGAAGGUCACAUGUUUACAGGAAGGGAGGACAAAAUGAAUUCAAAAGUUCUAAAAUUAUAUGUACACUCUGAUUAAAAUCUUGACUUCAUGUAAAAAACUUCAAUAGUAGACUAGGGGGAAAUGUAUGAGUAUUUAACCAAGGAACUUAUGCAAAUUGAUAAUAGACAUGAUGUGUGAGCUCAAACUUACUAAGAGUCAUGAAAAUGUACAUUAGGAAACAGAUACUAUGUCUGGGUGUGGUGGCACACAUCAAUAGUCCCAGCUUUGAGGAGGCAGAGCAGAAGGAUGGUGAGUUAGAGGCCAGCUUCCAACAAAACAAGAUCCUCCCUGUCUCAAAACCAAAACACAAACAAAGAAUAAAGGACACUAAAAAAGGAAAGGGAAAGAAACAAACAGUUACCUAAAGUCUGGAGGAACGUGUAUCAAGGUGUGGGGGCUGGAGAGAUGGCCCAGCAGUUAAGAGUGUGUUGCUAUUGUAGAGGACCUAAGUUGGGUUCCCAGAACCCUCAUCUGACAGCUGGCAACUCCUCUAAUUCCAGCUCCAGGGAAUUCAGUGCCCUCUUCUGGCCUGCUUGGGCACUGCACUUAAGUGACUACCCCUUUCCUCCCACCACCACAUAUACUCAUAAUUAAAAAUAAAACAUACAAUACUUUUUUUUUUUUUUUUUUUUUUUUUUUUUUAAAGAUUUAUUUAUUUAUUAUUAUAUGUAAGUACACUGUAGCUGUCUUCAGACACACCAGAAGAGGGAGUCAGAGCUUGUUACGGAUGGUUGUGAGCCACCAUGUGGUUGCUGGGAUUUGAACUCUGGACCUUCGGAAGAGCAGUCGGGUGCUCUUACCCACUGAGCCAUCUCACCAGCCCAAAAACAUACAAUACUUUAAAAAUAUAAAUAGGGCGCUUUUCUUUGCCUUGCCUAUACUUUCUAAAGUUAAUAUGCAUUAAGUAUUAGGAGGUAGUCAUUUGCUUUAGUGUUUUGCAAACCCAAUAAAUAUGAUCAGCCAAUCCUUUGAACAAAUCUUACUUCACAUCACUUAAGAACUAGGUCAGAAAUAGAUAGAAACAAUAUUUUUAUGCUCUAACUUCUCUCUCUCUCUUUUUUCCAAGACAGGGUUUCUCUGUAUAGCCCUGGCUGUCCUGGAACUCACUUUGCAGACCAGGCUGGCCGCCUCUGCCUCCAAAGUGCUGAGAUUAAAGGUGUGUGCCACCACUGCCUGGCUGUAUGCUCUAACUUCUCAAAUGUGACCUAUGCUUCUUUGGCUGUCUGUACAUUUCCACACAAGUAGAACACAUACAGUCCUGCCUAGGCCUACUGCUCUCUAUGUUCCCUACUCUGUUUGAAUUUUAAAAAUUAGACCACUUACCCUGAGGGAACACUCUGGGGCCAAUUCAUUCUUGCAUGUGCAUAGCUUAGGAAAUGACAUCAAUAACAACAAAAUAAAUGUCUAAUAUACUACUUAAAGGUAAGAAAAAUAGUUAUUAAAUAUCUAGAAACCAAGGCGGAGCCUAGAUUUGAUUUUUUUUUGUAUUAAACAGAUAACAAAGGAAGUGUUCUUUUUUUACAUAUCAAGUAUGAUUUAUCUUCAUGAAAUGUGUGGGGGAAAGAAAUACUGUUUUUAGAAAGAAGAAGGAGAAAGAACGAGGGUCUUCGUGAUGAAGACAGAAAACCUGUACCAUUAUAUGCAGAGUGGAGGAGCUGAGGGGCCUAUACACUGGAAGAUGAAGGGCACAGGGCUGCUAAGUCUUAAAAUCACUAAAGGUAAGGAGUUUCAGACUUCAUGCAGAGCCUCACUCUGCCAGUGCUUUCUUUUAUAUAGAAGAGGAGAGAGAGAGCCAGGGAGAUGAGCAGAUGCAGAUAAGAGAAAGCAGAGACCUUGUGGCUUUACUAUCAAACAGCCAGGUCCUAUUGGUCAAGGGGUUCAAUAGUUGUGUGAUGGUCUUAAUUGCCCAGUGUCUGUUAGGACCCAGGUACCAUCAACUGAGGAGGGCUACAAAUAGAUACAGUUGCCUUGCCUCGUGAAUUCGCAUGUCUGAAACUUGAUGAUCUGGAGAUGGCAAUACUUACAGUAAUACUUAUUUAGCAAGUAUAGCAGUGAAUGGCAGAUGGGUGAUCCCAUUGUUUGCCUGUCUGGGGUUUCAGAAGACCAAAUUAAGAGACAUCACAGCUCUGCGUCUUGUUAAAGAUGAGGAGUCUAUUGGUACUAACAGAGCAUAAGUGACCAGAGAGCAUGGUGUACGCUGUCAGGAUGAAGGAGAACUCUGACAAGACUACAGCAUUUGCAGACACAUUCAGCAAUAUAUGCAGCACUCAGAAGAACAGGCCGUCCCCUAAGUCUGAGACAGACCCCUGGUUUCCAAAGGUUAUGAACUAUUGGCAGGUGGGAUGUGGAACUCAGAUUGCUGGUCCUUAAUCCUUUGAUGAUACUUUUGGAAUGUUAGUAUGGGGACAUAAUAGUUACUAGAUGGAUAUGAAUUUUUCUCCAAGACUGACUAGCAAAGUAAGCUGCUGGAGAAAACUCAGUACGUUCAUGACUUAGUUUCCUCAUCAAUAAAAUAGAAGUAAUAGAGUAAUUAUUAUGAAAUUUUAAUGGAUAAAUGUAAAUGUUGAGCAGUGUUCCCUGCACAGGUAACUACUCAAUAAAUUAAUAACAUUAACAAUCAUCAGCAAAAAUAGCAGAAUGACAGAACAUAAUGCAGAGCAAGAAUUAGUAGAAUAAAGAAAGCUAGUGCCAUUUGAAAACAUUGGAAAUAGUGAACAAAGAUACACAAGAUGCUUUCUCUACUGAGCGAUGGAUGGCAGCACCAUUCUAGGGCUGGAAAGCACUAGAAGUAACCUCCUCUGUGUCAUGCGCCCUACACAGAAGGGACGCCAGGUUCAAACACUCCAUAAGCACUACAAAGCCAUGGAGUGUUGACUUGGCAGAGCCCAGCCAGCACAGAUGAGCGCUUGUUUAGCAGUGAAGCUCCGAGAACUGUAACACGACAGACAACUUUUAUCAAGCUCACUUUAUGCAGUGUUUAAUAAGUACUACUCUGGGAAAGAUAUGGUAACAAAAUGGUCAGAAAGGGCUAAAAAUCAAAAUAUGAUGUUAUGGGGUCUGACAACAUACUCUUAGCUGCAGGGUGGCUUAAUUAACAUGUAAAUCAGUCUUCCAUCAUUUCAGUGGAAGUGUUCAGAAAUGUACUGUGCCAAGGACUAGGGUUGAGUUUUUAGAUUUCAUUCUUUUAGAGGACUAUUCCUUUUUAUAAAUAAUAUUCAUGAGGUGAUUGUGCCAAAGUUAGAUGGAAGAGCCGCCAUUCCUGGCAAUUUAUUUCCGUGAUCUAAAAGCGUAAAGCCAAGUUAAGGAGAGAUAAAAAUCAUAUAGUUAGUAAUGCUAUAUAUAAAGAUAUGUGCUGUGUGAUAAGGGAUAUAUACCCUUUUGUUCCAUGGCUCUGAACAACAGUGGUGUUUGUGACUCCACUGGACUCUGAAGCCAGGACUGAUUGGAAGUCAUGCCCACCUGUUGUGGACCGUAAGCUGGGGCAUCAGGGCUCUGUUGCUUUAGUGUGGCUGGCAUUUCAUCCACCUGGUCCAAGGGAAAGAAUUUUAAAAUAUUGUUUAGCCUUCAGUGGAUUAACUAAGCUGCCAUCUGGUGUUCAGCCCUACUCAGACAUGCCACUGUGACAUGGAGUCACUAUGGGUAAAUAAGGAAGUGGACCUGUAGCCCUAGGCUCUGGUUUGAAUAUAAAUGGCCCCUACAGGUUCAGACAUUCAACAUUGCUUCCCAGCACUCUUGAGGUGGGGGGACUUCUAGAGGUGGGGCCCAGCUGUAGCAAAUAGGUCACUGGGUACCUUUUAAAGGCUACACUUGGUCCCCAGUAUCUUCUCUUCUCCGUGUGUCCUGUCUCUUGUCAUGUGAGCUACUCCGCACUUCCUCCCCACCAAGACUGACAAGCUAUGAACUAAAUUAAUCGUUCCACUUUUCAUGUUGUUCAUGUCAGACAUUCUGUCAUCGCUACGAGAAAGCUAACACAUCCGAAUGUAAGAACAUCGAGCUUCAAGGCACAUGAGGACAAGCACUUAGAUGUUGGCCAUGGGCUUUCAAAUAAGAAAUAGAUCAUCUUAAUCCAAGAAAUGCUGGCUGCACGUGAAGAUGAAUUCAAGUCUCUCUCCCUAACAGUCUCCCUCCCUCCCUCUUUAUAUUCACGCUAUUGGGUUUUCUAUAACUAUGUCUACCUCUCUGUGGUCGAUUCCUGACAGACAGGCCAGUAUCAGCAUCCACUCAAGCAUAGUCCUUCCUGGUACUCACUGUGCAACUCCAAGCUCCUACACCUUUACUUCUGUGGUCCCUCCAUCCGAAUAUCACUAACUCUGUGUCCCAUUUGCUUAACUACAAUCAGCCUUGAAGAUUCUGUUCAAACAUUACUCUUCGAGGAAGCCUUUUCUGGUCCCUCAAGCUGAGGAAAUUGCCAAGACACAAAGAGUUGAUCCACCAGAGAACUCACCACCGUUGCUGACACUCAUUUCCAUGUAUUUCUUCCUAUUUAACAGGGAUCGUGUCCCCAACACAAGAGAUUACAACAUUCACAAUACAUGUCUGGACCUAACCUCCUAAUCAGGAUCUCAUUCUUCCAAAUUGUAUUAACAUUCCUCCAUUUAUCCAUUAAUUUGACAGCCAUUGAUUACUUUUCCUCCACUCUCACCUUCCUGGAUGAUUUGCCUUUAAGAUCUGAGUAGGUGGUGUGCUUGUCCUAUCCCCGUGGAACAAAGGAAUGAGCCUUCCAAGUGUCCAUCAUAGACUUUAGAAUUUCAUUAUAUCAUCUACAUUUACUGAGAUGUUGGUGUAUAAGUAGCAGCUGAGACAGACUCUAUGUGGUGCUUAAGGGACCCAGGUAUUGGAGGUCUUCAUUAUAUCAGACACAGUAAGGCUGCCCUGUAUAAACAAGCCAUUUCCCUGAUACAGUAGUUCCUGAUUUUCAUGAAGAUCACUCUGGAUUUAACCAUUUUCUUCUUCAUUAGCCAAAAGUAAAAUUGGCCUGUUUUAAACCCCAGCCCAGGUAGGGCAGUUUUGUUAUUUUAGUCAAGGUCUCACUAAGUAGCUCUGGAUGGCUUAGAACUCACAGAGAUCUGCCUGCCUCCACCUCCUGAGUGCUGGGACUAAAGGCACGGGUCACCACACCUAGCAGGAAUGUUUUUAUGCUCAAAGCCUCCCUAAACCAACUGUAUGGAAGUCUCUGCAAGUGUGAAGGAAACCCUCCUGCACACUCAAACUCUUCCUUAGGAAGCUACCUCACUUCCAGUCUCUCUGUUUCUUCAUCUGUACUGUGACAACGUUCUCAUAUGGUUAUAAUAGAGACAUCGAUAAAUACAUGUAAAAUACAUUAUGUCUGCCACAGUGGGCGAUACUCAGAAACCUUUAUUGUCAUGAGCUCAUGGAGUUAUCAGGAGAAUAAAAUGAGUGUAAGUGUUCAGUGAAUGUUAAGCAGAUCAACAGAGGAACUUUGCAAACACUCAUGUGCUAGUCAAACACAAGGUAUCUAUAAUAUUUGAUGUUCUAGCAUGGGAGUCUUAACAGUAUGGAAAUUGGAUAUUUACAUAGGCUAAUAUGGCUACUCUGCCAGGCACAGAAAUACCUACUUAUAAACAGAUUUUUAAAUUCCCUGGAUUAUAUUUUUAUACUAAAUAUUAUAUAUUAUCUUAUAAUAAAUGCCAAGAUCAUCGGUAAUAAUUCUGAAAUGACUUUGGACACUCUCUUGACAGUAGAGGAAUGGGAAAUUUUGCAUAUUGCUUUAUUACACACUAGUAUCUUUCAAAGUCCUGACCUGGUUCCUCUCUGGAACUUCUGAAUGCUUGAUUAUGAACACAGAAGUCAGUAAAUGACAAGGAAGAGCUGGACAAUGAGGACCAGAAUGAAGCUACAUGUAAACACAAAGGACAAUACUAUGAGAUGCAGUCUAAAAAACAUACAUUGUCCAUUUUAAUAAUUUUGAGCAAGCAGUUAACCUUGCUCUGUAGCUUGAUUGUCUCAUCUCUAAUAUUAGUAUAUGAAUUAGAGGCUAUAGGAGUAGAUCGGUUUGGACUAAUUCACAUGGCCUCAUUGAUUUCUCAGUUAUUUAAGCUGACAUGAGGGUGCUGGUCUUUAUAAGUCAGAUGAUUAACUUUAAAUACUUCUCCCAUGAGGCUCUGUUCCAGGGCUACUGGUUGGGCAAACAAGACAAGAGGGAGCUAUGGUUCCUGACUGCAAAGUUGAUACAGUCAGGCUCAGUGUUCCCAUGACUUUGAUCAAAGAUUUGAUCAGUAGUAGAAGGCUUGCCUCAAAUGUCAAGACUCCUAGGUUCAACCAAUGAGAGAGAGAGAGAGAGAGAGAGAGAGAGAGAGAAGUGAAA